GGGCAGCGCGGGAGAGGAAGCAGCCCGCGCGCCUUGAGGGCUUGCCUCGGGAAACAUCGCCCUCGGCCCCCUGAGGGACGGAGCGGCCAGCACCCCCACGGCCGAGGAGCCACCGGCCCCCUGAAGGUAUAUACUGUAUUUCCUUCAUUACUUCAUACUGCAAGCAAGGGUACAGAAGGCAGCCUCCAUGAAUACAGAUCCCACAGUGCCAGAAUUUUUGAAGCAACUUAAAAGCAUUUCUCUAGAACAUUUUGCACUGUUACAACUUGCAACUCAUCCUUCCCUUUGCCAAUAAACUACCACUCCCAACAUUUCGUAGCCUA